CUGUGUGGUAUCUCCAUAACGGUAAGUUCUGUUUAUCUAUUGGUGUAGUAUCUCCGUAAUGGUGAGCUCUCUAGUAUCUCCAUAACGGUGAGCUGUGUGGUAUCUCCGUAACAGUGAGCUGUGUGGUAUCUCCGUAAUCGUGAGCUGUGUGGUUCUCUUGGUGUUGGUAUCUGUAAUGGUAAGCUCUAGUAUCUCCAUAAUGGUGAGCUGUGUGGUAUCUCCAUAACGGUAAGUUCUGUUUAUCUAUUGGUGUAGUAUCUCCGUAAUGGUGAGCUGUCUGGUAUCUCCUUAAUGGUAAGUUCUGUUUCUCGGUAUGCUAUCUCCGUAAUGGUGAGCUGUGUGGUUCUCUUGGUGUGGCAUCUGUAAUGGUAAGCUCUAGUAUCUCCGUAAUGGUGAGCUGUGUGGUAUCUCUUGGUGUUGGUAUCUGUAAUGGUAAGCUCUAGUAUCUUCAUAAUGGUGAGCUGUGUGGUAUCUCCGUAAUGGUGAGCUGUGUGGUAUCUCCAUAACGGUAAGUUCUGUUUAUCUAUUGGUGUAGUAUCUCUGUAAUGGUGAGCUGUGUGGUUCUCUUGGUGUGGCAUCUGUAAUGGUGAGCUGUGUGGUUCUCUUAGUGUUGGUAUCUGUAAUGGUAAGCUCUAGUAUCUCCAUAAUGGUGAGCUGUGUGGUAUCUAUAAUGGUAAGCUCUAGUAUCUCCGUAACGGUAAGCUGUGUGUUUAACUCUUGGUGUGGUAUCUGUAAUGGUAAGCUCUAGUAUCUCCGUAAUGGUGAGCUGUGUGGUAUCUCCGUAAUGGUGAGCUGUGUGGUUCUCUUGGUGUUGGUAUCUGUAAUGGUAAGCUCUAGUAUCUCCAUAACGGUGAGCUGUGUGGUAUCUCCAUAACAGUGAGCUGUGUGGUAUCUCCGUAAUGGUGAGCUGUGUGGUUCUCUUGGUGUUGGUAUCUGUAAUGGUAAGCUCUAGUAUCCCCGUAAUGGUGAGCUGUGUGGUGUCUCCAUAAUGGUGAGCUGUGUGGUUAUCUCUUGGUGUGGUGUCUCCAUAAUGGUGAGCUGUGUGGUUAUCUCUUGGUGUGGUAAUGGUAAACUGUGUGGUUAUCUCUUGGUGUGGUAAUGGUAAACUGUGUGGUUAUCUCUUGGUGUGGUAAUGGUAAACUGUGUGGUUAUCUCUUGGUGUGGUAAUG
ensembl:lncRNA